rnacentral:lncRNA from 1 species
AUGACACGCACUAUCCAGUCCCAGGGGAAACCCAAGGCGGGACGAGGGGAGGAGGUGUGCCUUUUCGCCCCCUCUCCCUGCUUCCACCCCGAGGCCUUAUUCUCCCUUAGUUCCUAUCCCCAUCCCCGUACCCGAAUCCACUCACCACCCCCGGGGCAGGGGCAGGCCCGACCCGGGAUGGAGAAGGAAGGGAAACUCCCCCGGAGCCGAGAAAGUCCUGGCCGCCCCGCCCGACUCAGGGGCAGGCCACUCUGGACCGAGAGUAGGAGUUGUACGCAGGCAAUGGUGGCAGGGAGCAUCCGCCCCUGCCCUCCGGCCAUUGGCCAGUGGGUCUUCACGUCGAGAAACCUUCCCUUUCCACUGGCGGGACCAGCUGUCAAAUGGGCACGGUUGCGGUGAGGCGCGGUUCCCUCUGGGAAAUGUAGUCCCAGUAGUCAAUAGUCAAACUAAGUGCCUACUGUGUACCAGGCGCUAUGCUAAGCGCUGACAAUGUAAACACGAAGACGAAAAAAUGUCCCUGCCCUCAAGUAGUUUAGAAUCUAAUGAGGGAAGACAGCAAAUAGAGGCGGGGAACAGUUGGGGGAGGGAAGGUCAUGUCCCGACUGGAGCAGUCAGAUAAGAAAUGAGGAGAAAGGACUCAGAGCCAAAUGUUUGUCUCUUCUUCACUUUGAUAGAUGAAGAAAUUGAAGCAUUCUGAAGGAUAAUGACUUGUGUAAAGUUACACAGAAAGUGGAAUUGUAGGGAUUUUGACUGGGGCGGGGAGGGGAGGGAUUCGGGGAGAGUAUUUAGACUCCAAAUCCAGGGCUCUUCACACCCCACCAAUAAGACUGUCAGGUUGCUUCCAGGGGCUGAAAGAGCUUACCUUUGUUGCAGAAUAUGUAGACUUCCUUGAUGUCUCCUUAAUUCUGAGACCCUAGAAGACCCUGCCUAAUAUUAAUGAUAGCUAGCAUUCAUAAAGGACUUUAAAGUUCAAGACGUUUUCAAUAUUAACGUUUGCAAUACUAUUUUAUUUUAUUCUCAAAACCAGGGAAGUGAGGGCUAUUAUUUUAGAGAUGAGGAAACUGAUGAAGCCAAACGUUAAGUAAUUUGCCCAGGGUCACACAGUCAGAAAGUGUAUGAGGUUUGAAAUUAAGACUUCUUGACCUAACAGCCAUUUUCAGUUGCCCCUGUGUAACUACUUUGCUUGCUGCACUGUGCUGGCACUACAUAGCUAGGUUGUUGUGGAAUAUGAGCCCCCUGAGGACUAGGAAAUUUUCUUGUGCUGUGAACAUAAUAAAUAUUUAAUUAGUAUUUGUUGAAUUGAGUUU